AUUGAACGCUGGCGGCAGGCUUAACACAUGCAAGUCGAGCGGGGUGAUGGUGCUUGCACUAUCACUUAGCGGCGGACGGGUGAGUAAUGCUUAGGAAUCUGCCUAUUAGUGGGGGACAACAUCUCGAAAGGGAUGCUAAUACCGCAUACGUCCUACGGGAGAAAGCAGGGGAUCACUUGUGACCUUGCGCUAAUAGAUGAGCCUAAGUCGGAUUAGCUAGUUGGUGGGGUAAAGGCCUACCAAGGCGACGAUCUGUAGCGGGUCUGAGAGGAUGAGCCGCCACACUGGGACUUGGACACGGCCCGGACUCCGACGGGAGGCAGCAGUGGGGAAUAUUGGACAAUGGGGGGAACCCUGAUCCAGCCAUGCCGCGUGUGUGAAGAAGGCCUUAUGGUUGUAAAGCACUUUAAGCGAGGAGGAGGCUCUUUUGGUUAAUACCCUUGGAUAGUGGACGUUACUCGCAGAAUAAGCACCGGCUAACUCUGUGCCAGCCGCCGCAGUAA
rnacentral:rRNA from 1 species